rnacentral:rRNA from 1 species
AGAGUUUGAUCCUGGCUCAGAGCGAACGCUGGCGGCAUGCUUAACACAUGCAAGUCGCACGGGCAGUAGCAAUAUUGUCAGUGGCGGACGGGUGAGUAACGCGUAGGAAUUUAUCUUUGGAUGGGGGACAACCGUGGGAAACUACGGCUAAUACCGCAUAUGGGCUGAGGCCCAAAGCCGAGAGGCGCCUUUGGAGCGGCCUGCGUCCGAUUAGGUAGUUGGUGGGGUAAAGGCCUACCGAGCCUGCGAUCGGUAGCUGGUCUGAGAGGACGACCAGCCACACUGGGACUGAGACACGGCCCAAACUCCUACGGGAGGCGAC